GAUGAACGCUGGCGGCGUGCUUAACACAUGCAAGUCGAGCGAAGCAGUUAAGAAGAUUCUUCGGAUGAUUCUUAACUGACUGGGCGGCGGACGGGUGAGUAACGCGUGGGUGACCUGCCCCAUACCGGGGGAUAACAGCUGGAAACGGCUGCUAAUACCGCAUAAGCGCACAGAGCUGCAUGGCUCGGUGUGAAAAACUCCGGUGGUAUGGGAUGGGCCCGCGUCUGAUUAGGCAGUUGGCGGGGUAACGGCCCACCAAACCGACGAUCAGUAGCCGGCCUGAGAGGGCGACCGGCCACAUUGGGACUGAGACACGGCCCAAACUCCUACGGGAGGCAGCAGUGGGGAAUAUUGCACAAUGGGGGAAACCCUGAUGCAGCGACGCCGCGUGAGUGAAGAAGUAUUUCGGUAUGUAAAGCUCUAUCAGCAGGGAAGAAAACAAUGACGGUAC
rnacentral:rRNA from 1 species